rnacentral:misc_RNA from 1 species
ACAUAAUGGUGCAGUGUUAGCUAGAGGGGAACAUAUUAUAGUAGACCAUGAUUACAACAUAAUUUGAGCAUUGCUGGUAGUCAGUGUUGCUUUCAUAUUGGCAAUAUUCGGGCAANAAGAAUCUAAAUCCUGUUAUUCUUUAUCAAUAGAUUUUGGUUGUACAGGAAAUUCCCUUUCUAUAGAAGAACUAAUAUCCCCAUUUCUUCAUGAUCUUGAAGUCGCACCAGAAAA